rnacentral:rRNA from 1 species
AUACGUAGGGGGCGAGCGUUGUCCGGAAUGAUUGGGCGUAAAGGGCGCGUAGGCGGCGCGGUAAGUCUGGAGUGAAAGUCCUGCUUUCAAGGUGGGAAUUGCUUUGGAUACUGCCGCGCUUGAGUGCAGGAGAGGUUAUCGGAAUUCCCGGUGUAGCGGUGAAAUGCGUAGAGAUCGGGAGGAACACCAGUGGCGAAGGCGGGUAACUGGACUGCAACUGACGCUGAGGCGCGAAAGUGUGGGUAGCAAACAGGAUUAGAUACCCUGGUAGUCCACACUGUAAACGAUGAAUGCUAGGUGUAAGAGGUAUCGACCCCUUUUGUGCCGGAGUCAACACAAUAAGCAUUCCGCCUGGGGAGUACGGCCGCAAGGUUGAAACUCAAAUGAAUUGACGGGG